UACGUAGGGUGCAAGGCGUUAAUCGGAAUUACUGGGCGUAAAGCGGUGCGCAGGCGGUUGUGCAAGACAGGUGUGAAAUCCCCGGGCUUAACCGUGGGAAUGGCCCGUUGAAACUGGCGAACUGGAGUGUGGCAGGAGGGGGGUGGAAUUCCGCGUGUAGCAGUGAAAUGCGUAGAGAUGCGGAGGAACACCGAUGGCGAAGGCAGCCCCCUGGGCGUAACCACUGACGCUCAGGCACGAAAGCGUGGGGAGCAAACAGG
rnacentral:rRNA from 1 species